UUUUUUUUUUUUUUUUUUUUUUUUUUAUAUAUAUUUAGAUACCACAAAGAUUUAGAGAAAAAAAUCUUAUAAAAAGAAAAAUUAUCUUGCAACGUUUUUAGUAAAAAUAAUAAUAACACAAUCAAAUAUAUGGAAAUCUUAUAAAAAGAUUUAGAUAAUAAUAACACAAAGAUUUAGAUAUAUGGAAUCUUAUAAAAAAAAAAAUUAUCUUGCAACGUUUUUAGUAAAAAUAAUAAUAACACAAUCAAAUAUAUGGAAAUCAAAUAUUUAAUAUGGAAAAGUCAAUAUCUAAAAGUGAUAAGAUAUGUAUAACGUUUUAAUCAAAGGAGUUAAAUAAGGGAUAUCAUAUCAAUCAUAAAUAGAUUUUAGACAAUAUAAUAUUUAUAAAAUGAUAUUGAAUAUAGAUGCAACUAUUCAAAACUGGAAUGCUAAAACAUUAUUACAUGGUUGCAUCACCCACCACCGGGCUAUGAAUAGUUACAAAAUUAGUUAUAUAAUUAUAAAAUUGGUAAUUUAUAUAUUCAAUAUUGUAAUAGUAAAUCACAAAAAUUAACAAUUAACAAGCAUGAUUCUCUUCUUUAACGAUUUUCUUUGUAGAAUCAUUGAAUCAUGCGAUAGUAAUUAUAGAAACAAAUGAUAAGCAUGAUUCUCUUCUUUAUUGAAUCAUUGAAAACAUGCUUUUACCGAUCUAUACUAUAAUCAUCGAUUGGCUCAUAUUGUUUUGUUUCAAUAAUAGAAAAUAAGUACUAUGAACCAUGAGUCGAUAAGUAAACAUGGUUCUUAAAAAAAAUGUAAGAAUCUCUAUAUCUACCUUUUAGAGCGUGUUGAUAACGUGUUAUAAACAGAGAAAGAGAUAGAAGAAAUGAGUGUGUUAUUCCAUUGAGAUAAAGGGUUUUUUAUAUAGGAGUACAAGGAAAGGGUAAAACCCUAGAAACAUCUAGAUGAUGGGCUUAGAUGAUGGACCUUAUAAUGGGCAUCCAUCUUUAUUCAUAACAAAUAAUAACUUGUUGUUACAAUUGGGGAUAAGCUUAAAUUAUAGAGAGGACUUACUCAAGGUUCUAAAAUCAUAAAAUAAGAAACUAAAUCAAAA
rnacentral:sRNA from 1 species